UUGGUGCGGUAGUGGCGUACCAAGGCGACGACGGGUAGCCGGCCUGAGAGGGCGACCGGCCACACUGGGACUGAGACACGGCCCAGACUCCUACGGGAGGCAGCAGUGGGGAAUAUUGCACAAUGGGCGCAAGCCUGAUGCAGCGACGCCGCGUGAGGGAUGACGGCCUUCGGGUUGUAAACCUCUUUCGAUCGGGACGAAGCCUUUCGGGGUGACGGUACCGGUAUAAGAAGCACCGGCUAACUACGUGCCAGCAGCCGCGGUAAUACGUAGGGUGCGAGCGUUGUCCGGAAUUAUUGGGCGUAAAGAGCUCGUAGGCGGUUUGUUGCGUCUAUCGUGAAGACCUGGGGCUCAACCCCGGGCCUGCGGUGGAUACGGGCAGACUUGAGUUCGGUAGGGGAGACUGGAAUUCCUGGUGUAGCGGUGAAAUGCGCAGAUAUCAGGAGGAACACCGGUGGCGAAGGCGGGUCUCUGGGCCGAUACUGACGCUGAGGAGCGAAAGCGUGGGGAGCGAACAGGAUUAGAUACCCUGGUAGUCCACGCCGUAAACGUUGGGCGCUAGGUGUGGGAUCCCUUCCACGGGUUCCGUGCCGCAGCUAACGCAUUAAGCGCCCCGCCUGGGGAGUACGG
rnacentral:rRNA from 1 species